rnacentral:misc_RNA from 1 species
UUAAACAAAUCCCAACAGAAUUCAGAUACCAACCGUGUGAAAAACACCUAAAAUAAAUAACCACAAGAUCUUGAGAAAAAAAAAAAGUAUAAACAAACGGUGAAUGAUGCAGGCGAUAUACAGGACAAACAAAUAAAAAUAUAUCUAAAUUUUGCAGCCAUUUGCCAUUCAAGCCCAGCAAGGAAUUUAAAAUUGAUUGCCG